UAGGGAAUAUUGCAAAAUGGGCGAAAGCCCGAUGCAGCAACGCCGCGCGGGCGAUGAAGGCCUUCGGGUCGUAAAGCCCUUUUUGAGGGGAUGAGGAAGGACGGUACCCUCAGAAUAAGCCUCGGCUAACUACGUGCCAGCAGCCGCGGUAAAACGUAGGAGGCGAGCGUUAUCCGGAUUUACUGGGCGUAAAGCGCGUGCAGGCGGAUUGGAGAGUUGGAUGUGAAAGCUCCCGGCUUAACUGGGAGAGGUCGUUCAAUACUUCCAGUCUUGAGUGCAGUAGAGGGUAGUGGAAUUCCAGGUGUAGUGGUGAAAUGCGUAGAUAUCCGGAGGAACACCAGUGGCGAAAGCGGCUUCCUGGACUGUAACUGACGCUCAGACGCGAAAGCUAGGGUAGCAAACG
rnacentral:rRNA from 1 species